GAUGAACGCUGGCGGCGUGCCUAACACAUGCAAGUCGAACGGAAAGGCCCUGCUUUUGUGGGGUUCUCGAGUGGCGAACGGGUGAGUAACACGUGAGUAACCUGCCCUUGACUUUGGGAUAACUUCAGGAAACUGGGGCUAAUAUCGUAUAGGAUCUCCUGUUGCAUGGUGGGGGUUGGAUAGUUGCGGCGGGUGGGGAUGGACUCGCGGCUUACCUGCUUGUUGGUGGGGUAGUUGCUUACCAAGGCUUUGGCGGGUAGCCGGCCAGAGAGGGUGACCGGCCACAUUGGGACUGAGGGACGGCCCAGGCGGCUACGGGAGGCAACAGUGGGGAAUAUUGCACCAUGGGCGGAAGCCUGAUGCAGCAGCGCCGCGGGCGGGAUAACGGCCUUCGGGUUGUAAACAGCUUUCGCCUGAAACGAAGCGUGAGUGACGGUAAUGAAUAAAGAAGCACCGGCUAACUACGUG
rnacentral:rRNA from 1 species